AUUUAGCUUUUCUUUUCAACUUUAAUGUCAUCCCCCUACAAAAAUAUCUCUUGUUUUAAAUAUGUUUCUUUGAAAUUUAAACCGCAAGGGUUAUCAUUCUUACAAUGGUCGGGAAACAGCAUAAAAGAUAAUGUACUAUAUGGUUUUUAGCCAGGCUACUGUCCACAGAAGGAAGAGAUCCAUGAACGGAAUUCAUUUUCAUUUCUGUGAGAAAUAAGAUUGUAAGUCUAGUGAUGUUUUUACAUGCACCACUACAUGAUUCCUGGAAAUAAGGCUCUAGUUGGUGGAAAGUAAUGGGUGUCCUUUCAGAGGCCACUGGUAUCUUAAAGCAGGACAGAACAAAAAUAGAGAGGGACCUUUUGUUGUGGGUGCAGACACAUAGAUGAGUGACCUAGCAGGGUUUCCAUUUCCACUGAUGCUCCAUUUCGGGGCAUGGCAUUAAGAUGACCAUUGACUGUCCUUGAUCUGGUCUGCUCAAGGCAAACACUCACCCUACUUCACAGUGUUGAACCGCUGUCUCUACACAUUUUAGUUUGAACCAGAAAGUUGGCGGUGAAGCAGCACUGGGCCAGACAUGAGUCUCAGCCCAGCUCUGCACUGCCCACCGAAAAGCAUAGGCCAGUGUUUACACCUCCAAGUCUCACUUUUCUCAUCUGCAAAAUGGGAUUAAUCAUAAUUCCCGUGCUGUCUACCUCACUGGACUGUCCUGAUGACCGAAGGGGUCAGAAUGUAAACUUUAAAGUGCUGUACAGUUGUGAGGUAACUGCCAUUCUCAGCAGCUCUCUUUUGCAGAGGAAGUAAAUGUACUUAUUAUUUGUAUGUAUGUGUGUGCUUUUGUGUGCUAACACAUGUGAUAGUCAGUGAAACACAUUGUGUGUAUCUGGCUACUUUGCACAUCUGCUGUCAUUUGUAACUCUAAGGAGAGAUUUGUGUUGUGGCCGAGCACUUGCCAAGUGAGGCAUAGGUUAUGCCAACAUGCAAAUUAAACUUCGCCUUUCUUCCG
rnacentral:lncRNA from 1 species